GCGGGCCUGCCUGGGCGGCGGCGGGGGUGGCGGCGCCGCUGCAGUGCGGGUACCCGCUCGCUCGCUUGCCGGUAGUCCCCGCGCCCCGCGUACCGGCGCAGCCACCUCCUGGCCUCGGGCGCCGCGCAUCCAGGAAGGAAGCAGCAGCACUCGCCAUGGCCUCCCCGCCCGCCUGCCCCUCGGAGGAGGACGAGAGCCUGAAGGGCUGUGAGCUGUACGUGCAGCUGCACGGGAUCCAGCAGGUCCUCAAGGACUGCAUCGUGCAUCUCUGCAUCUCCAAGCCCGAGCGCCCCAUGAAGUUCCUCCGGGAGCACUUCAAGAAGCUGGAGAAGGAAGGGUCUGAAUUC